rnacentral:lncRNA from 1 species
CAAAAGUUCAUUCCUUCUUUGCACUAAUAACAGUCCAGCCCAUUCCAAAUUGAACAGAAACCCAUCCAAAUUACAACUUCAACAGCAACGCAUACCAACCGACCCCACCAGUGUCUUCUUCCUCGCGAGAACCCAGCGAAAUCGCGACCCAAAUCGAACCAGUCCAAAAUCGCGACCCAGUCCAGCAACACUGCAAACAACGAUUCCAGUGACCCCGCGCGUGUCCGUCCUUUCCCAUCUCUCUCUCUUUAUCCUCUUGUGACUUGUAUGAGUAAUGUACUCGAUUUUUCCAGCUGUCUCCAUCUUGACGCCUCACUUGUCCUUGCUCGAAAUCAAGCGUCCCUCGUCAAUUUUUCCGUUGAGAAUGGUACGUUACAGCUCACACCUUAUCCUCUAAGAAUUUCAAAAUUUGCAGCAGUCCCACAUCGUUUCCCCCCUCAAUUUCGACCCAGAAAUUGUCCUAUAUAAUCCCUUCUCUCUUCACUGUUCAAAGGGGGAGUUUUUUGGGAAACGGGAGAGUACCCUAAAAAGUUUGGGAAAUCUUGGUUCAAUAGUUUAAUCUUUGUGGGUUUUCUGGCAGUUCGGAUUGAAAGAGGUGGUGGAGUCGUAUUCUCAACUAGUCGUUUUAGUUCGCUGCCCAGAACUAGGUAGUCUCUUUGCUCUUUCUUUAGUCUUUUCUUUCUGUUGCAUUGUGAAAUUGUUGUUUGUUUUAGUGUUGUUAAUCGUCUUUUAGAUUCAAUGUGUUUAAUGUGAUGUUUAUGUGAAGGACAGUAAAAGUUUUUCAUUAUCUUGUUCACUUAGUUAAGUCAAUUUUGAAUAAGUGUAUUAAGUUUGUUGAUCUGUUGAUGGCUGUUCUCUUAUAAUUUAUAGGUCACAAUGUGAUUCUUUUACUUACUCGAGCUCAUAAAUCUAUAUAUGUGCUUUAGUUAUUGUUAUUCUUAUUCGACUUUGAAAUCCAUGUUAAUAUAGUUGCCGAUUUCUCUUCAUUGCCUUCUUAAAGAUAUAAGUUGUAUAUUCUGUCACUUCGAGUUUGUUUAGACUAAAAUGUUAUGUUAAGCUUCGCUGCCACUAAAAUGUGUUUUCGGCUAAUUUCUUGUAUAGUUCGAAACAACCAAAUUAUUGUUACUCCGUCUAGCUCUUCUUUAUUAUCGUAGCAUGCUUGUUCGAAUCUCAGUUUUGGUGCAGUUGAUUGUCGUUCUUGUGAUUAAAAGUUAUCCCAGCUCAAGUUGAAGCUCUUUUCCUUUCUUUCGCUCGAGUAUGGACCUAUUUGUUACUUCCAAAUAAAAUAGAUAUAGCUGGGUCAUAUAGUCAUCUGAUGUAAGUGUGUAAUUUUCUGAAGUAUGUUCUGUUAUGAGUGAAAUCUGAUGAUUGCCUUUGAAUUCUUGAUUCCUUUUUCCUGCAUCUAGUCGCCUGUUUAUGAAUUUGGAAGAUAAAUUAUGGAUUUUUCUUAUGUUUUCAUUCACAACCUGCCGUAAUAGCUAUCACCAGUUCUCUCAAGAAUUAAAAAUGAUUCCUUUUUGUUCUUAUGAUCUGGGAAUUCAUGUUACUUUCACCUUCCAACAGUUUUAUAAUCAUUGUUAUUUCCAGGAGCGUAUUUACUUGGCCAAAUGUCUCUUGUGUUAACUAAAAUUUUUGACUUGAUCUUUUGUUUCUCUGUUUGCCGAUGUAAAAUUUAAAGUUUAUAGCGAAUCGUUUAAAUUGUCUCGUUCCUUGUCUACCUGCUGAUCUUCUCUUGCUUAAAUCCAUGACUAAAGCUUGUGGUUAUUUCUUCUCUUAAUUUGAACAUGAAAAAUAUAAAAUGUGUAGCCAUUGAAAUUUGUUUUCUUUGUUUCUGUUGAUUUUCCUCUUCGUUUGAUAGAUUCGAUUUACUUUGUUAAAUGUUGUUUGAGCCAUCACCAUUCCUUUCUUGAUUAUUUGCUAAUCCUCCUUUCCCUCAUUUUUCUUUUCAUGUGACACUCGUUUGAGUCCAUUUGGAUUCCCCACCUAUUGCAUAUUCUUCUUUUCCGAAUCAACCUCUACCAAGUUACGAAAGGGAAGCUGAUAUAUUGGGUUGAGACCCAAAAAAAACAGCAGCACAGUGACAGGUUGACAGCAGUCCUAAACGGCUGAAAUUUGAAUAUUUUGGACUUAAAAGCUUGGUAAAAUGACCAGCAGUAGCAGAGACCUCAAAAUGGCCGAAAAAGGAGGAACAAAAUUGGGUUUAAACCCAGAGAAACCAGUAGGAUGGCGGCAGUCCCUGAAGGGCUGAAAAUUGGAUUCUUUUCGGACUUGAAAAGUCCAGUUAGAUCGGCAGCAACAAAGAGCAUUUAGGCCAAGUGGCCAGAUUUUUGUUAUUUGUUUUCUUGACUUAUGUUCUUAAUUUGUUUUAGAAAUGCUAACACUUUCUUCUUAUAUCUAAUUAAGAUGAAUCCUUGGGAAGUUUCUAUUUUGUUACUUAUUUUGCUUCAAGUAUUUAAAUUUUCAAACAUUUUUAAUUCAUGUAAUCAAAGCUUCAAGACUAACUUGAGAAUUAUCUAUAUUCUUUUAUAGUUAGUAUUUAGCAUUCAAAUCCAUGCC